rnacentral:misc_RNA from 1 species
UACAGAGGGUGCGAGCGUUAAUCGGAUUUACUGGGCGUAAAGCGUGCGUAGGCGGCUUUUUAAGUCGGAUGUGAAAUCCCCGAGCUUAACUUGGGAAUUGCAUUCGAUACUGGGAAGCUAGAGUAUGGGAGAGGAUGGUAGAAUUCCAGGUGUAGCGGUGAAAUGCAUAGAUAUUACUCAGAAUACCGAUGGCGAAGGCAGCCAUCUGGCCUAAUACUGACGCUGAGGUACGAAAGCAUGGGGAGCAAACAGG